ensembl:lncRNA
UGAGCUUGAACGUGCCCCAGUAUUGGUGCAUAUGCUAAUUUGACCUCACUAGCUUGUUGCAUUUGCGUAGUGUUAGCAUCAAGCUAUAUUACAUUAUAAUUCAUUAUUAGGCUACUUCAUACUAAAAGCCUGCAGCUCCGUUCCUCACAAUUUCCUCGAAAAACUCAUCCAGCGCAAUGAAUUGUGGGUAACAUUAGCUAAAUCAAUUGACACUUAUUCUAAUUAUGUAAACAAUUUAGGAUGGAAAGUGCAUGAAUUGGACUAGAGGAAAAAAAAAAUGCCACGGGAUAAAAAACAAAAACAAAAGGUAAUUGCGACCUUUAUCUCACAGUUCAAGACUUUUUUCUCGCAAUUCUGAGAAAAAAAGUAAAAACUGUGACAACUGUGAGACAAACGCAGAAUUGUAAUAUAUAAACGUUGCAAAAUAUGAACUUGCGAUUCUGAGAAAAUAAUUAGGGAUAUAAACAUGCAAUUUGCGAGAAUAAAAAGUCAAAUUCAAGAUACAAAUUUUGAUUUAACUUUUUAUUUUAUGGAAGAAGAAAGUCUGAACUGCGAGAAAGAAAUUCUGAGUUUAUAUUUCGUAAUUUUUUUUUUUCUCAUAAUCGCGAGUUUAUAAAAGAAAUUUUGAAAAUUUAAGUCAGAAUAUAAAAAAGUCAGAAUUGCGAGGGAAGAAAGUCCGGAUUGAGAGAUUAAAAAGUAGCAGUUACCGUUUGUUUUUCCUGAUAUCAUCUUCAUCAAAUUCAUGCUGAAAUCUGUCAUCAUCCGGGAUUCUGCUGUCUGCAGUAUUUUCUUAUAGGCUACUCCUGUAUUUUCUAAAAACGCUUUUUAAGGCGUCUCGCUGGACUGGUCGAUCAAUAACUUGUUUUCUGUCUUGAAAUGCUUGAUAGAUGUGAAUCAGGACUUAUUAGAUGUGAUUUUUAUGUGCCAUAAUAAUUCCUUUAACACUGUGUCUUUGCUCGAUGUGAUGAUUUUGUUGGGUUUGUUGAAUAAAAGUUUAUGUACACAAUUUGUGUGCUCA